rnacentral:rRNA from 1 species
GAUGAACGCUAGCGGCAGGCUUAACACAUGCAAGUCGAGGGGUAGAAGUUGCUUGCAACUUUGAGACCGGCGCACGGGUGCGUAACGCGUAUGCAAUCUACCUUAUACAGAGGGAUAGCCCAGAGAAAUUUGGAUUAAUACCUCAUAGUAUAAUUGAAUGGCAUCAUUCAAUUAUUAAAGUUCUAACGGUAUAAGAUGAGCAUGCGUCCUAUUAGCUAGAUGGUAAGGUAACGGCUUACCAUGGCAACGAUAGGUAGGGGUCCUGAGAGGGAGAUCCCCCACACUGGUACUGAGACACGGACCAGACUCCUACGGGAAGCAGCAGUGAGGAAUAUUGGACAAUGGGCGCAAGCCUGAUCCAGCCAUGCCGCGUGCAGGAAGAAGCAUCUAUGGUGUGUAAACUGCUUUUGUACGGGAAGAAACACCCCUUCGUGAAGGGACUUGACGGUACCGUAAGAAUAAGGAUCGGCUAACUCCGUGCCAGCAGCCGCAGUAACAC